CAAGUAAUUAAGUGCAUGUGGUGGAUGCCUUGGCAGUCAGAGGCGAUGAAAGACGUGAUAGCCUGCGAAAAGCUCCGGGGAGGCGGCAAAUAUCCUUUGAUCCGGAGAUGUCUGAAUGGGGGAACCCACCUACUUUAAGGUAGGUAUUGCAACAUGAAUACAUAGUGUUGCAAGGCGAACGAGGGGAAGUGAAACAUCUCAGUACCCUUAGGAAAAGAAAUCAAUUGAGAUUCCCUCAGUAGCGGCGAGCGAACGGGGAUCAGCCCAUUAAGUUAUGUGUGUUUUAGUGGAACGCUCUGGGAAGUGCGAACGUAGAGGGUGAUAUUCCCGUACACGAAAGGGCACACAUAAUGAUGACGAGUAGGGCGAGGCACGUGAAACCUUGUCUGAAUAUGGGGGGACCAUCCUCCAAGGCUAAAUACUCCUGACUGACCGAUAGUGAACCAGUACCGUGAGGGAAAGGCGAAAAGAACCCCUGUGAGGGGAGUGAAAUAGAUCCUGAAACCGCAUGCAUACAAGCAGUGGGAGCACCUUCGUGGUGUGACUGCGUACCUUUUGUAUAAUGGGUCAGCGACUUAUAUUCAGUAGCGAGGUUAACCGUAUAGGGGAGCCGUAGAGAAAUCGAGUCUUAAUAGGGCGUUUAGUUGCUGGGUAUAGACCCGAAACCAGGCGAUCUAUCCAUGAGCAGGUUGAAGGUUGGGUAACACUAACUGGAGGACCGAACCCACUGUCGUUGAAAAGCCAGGGGAUGACUUGUGGAUAGGGGUGAAAGGCUAAUCAAGCCUGGUGAUAGCUGGUUCUCCCCGAAAGCUAUUUAGGUAGCGCCUCGGACGAAUACCAUAGGGGGUAGAGCACUGUUUCGGCUAGGGGGUCAUCCCGACUUACCAAACCGAUGCAAACUCCGAAUACCUAUGAGUACUAUCCGGGAGACAGACUGCGGGUGCUAACGUCCGUAGUCAAGAGGAAAACAAUCCAGACCGCCAGCUAAGGCCCCAAAAUCAUAGUUAAGUGGGAAACGAUGUGGGAAGGCAUAGACAGCUAGGAGGUUGGCUUAGAAGCAGCCACCCUUUAAAGAAAGCGUAAUAGCUCACUAGUCGAGUCGGCCUGCGCGGAAGAUGUAACGGGGCUAAAACUAUGUGCCGAAGCUGCGGAUGUAUACUUUGUAUACGUGGUAGGGGAGCGUUCUGUAAGCCGAUGAAGGUGUGUUGAGAAGCAUGCUGGAGGUAUCAGAAGUGCGAAUGCUGACGUGAGUAACGACAAAACGGGUGAAAAACCCGUUCGCCGAAAGACCAAGGGUUCCAGUCCAACGUUAAUCGGGGCUGGGUGAGUCGACCCCUAAGGCGAGGCCGAAAGGCGUAGUCGAUGGGAAAAUGGUUAAUAUUCCAUUACUUCUGUGUAAUGCGAUGAGAGGACGGAGAAGGCUAAAUCAGCCUGGCGUUGGUUGUCCAGGUGAAAGGAUGUAGGCAUGUAUCUUAGGCAAAUCCGGGGUACUCUAUGCUGAGAUCUGAUAGCAAGCUGUACUUGUACAGCGAAGUGGUUGAUGCCAUGCUUCCAGGAAAAGUCUCUAAGCUUCAGUUACACAGGAAUCGUACCCGAAACCGACACAGGUGGUCAGGUCGAGUAGACCAAGGCGCUUGAGAGAACUCUGCUGAAGGAACUAGGCAAAAUGGUACCGUAACUUCGGGAGAAGGUACGCUGUUGUUGGUGAUGGAACUCGCUUCCUGAGCUGACGACAGCCGCAGAAACCAGGCCGCUGCAACUGUUUAUUAAAAACAUAGCACUCUGCAAACACGAAAGUGGACGUAUAGGGUGUGAUGCCUGCCCGGUGCUGGAAGGUUAAUUGAUGGGGUUAGCGUAAGCGAAGCUCUUGAUCGAAGCCCCAGUAAACGGCGGCCGUAACUAUAACGGUCCUAAGGUAGCGAAAUUCCUUGUCGGGUAAGUUCCGACCUGCACGAAUGGCAUAAUGAUGGCGGCGCUGUCUCCAGCAGAGGCUCAGUGAAAUCGAAAUCGCUGUGAAGAUGCAGUGUACCCGCGGCUAGACGGAAAGACCCCGUGAACCUUUACUGCAGCUUGACACUGAACUUUGACCUUACUUGUGUAGGAUAGGUGGGAGGCUUUGAAGCUGGAACGCUAGUUCCAGUGGAGCCGUCCUUGAAAUACCACCCUGGUAAUGUUGAGGUUCUAACUCUGUCCCGUGAUCCGGGACGAGGACCGUGUCUGGUGGGUAGUUUGACUGGGGCGGUCUCCUCCUAAAGAGUAACGGAGGAGUACGAAGGUGCGCUCAGCGUGGUCGGAAAUCACGCGUAGAGUAUAAAGGCAAAAGCGCGCUUAACUGCGAGACCCACAAGUCGAGCAGGUACGAAAGUAGGUCUUAGUGAUCCGGUGGUUCUGUAUGGAAGGGCCAUCGCUCAACGGAUAAAAGGUACUCUGGGGAUAACAGGCUGAUACCGCCCAAGAGUUCAUAUCGACGGCGGUGUUUGGCACCUCGAUGUCGGCUCAUCUCAUCCUGGGGCUGAAGCAGGUCCCAAGGGUAUGGCUGUUCGCCAUUUAAAGAGGUACGCGAGCUGGGUUUAGAACGUCGUGAGACAGUUCGGUCCCUAUCUACCGUGGGCGCUGGAAAUUUGAGAGGAUCUGCUCCUAGUACGAGAGGACCAGAGUGGACGAACCUCUGGUGUACCGGUUGUGACGCCAGUCGCAUCGCCGGGUAGCUAUGUUCGGAAGGGAUAACCGCUGAAAGCAUCUAAGCGGGAAGCCUACCUCAAGAUAAGAUUUCCCUAGGACUUUAUGUCCUCUAAAGAGCCGUUCGAGACUAGGACGUUGAUAGGUUGGAUGUGGAAGCAUAGUGAUAUGUGAAGCUGACCAAUACUAAUUGCUCGUGAGGCUUG
rnacentral:rRNA from 1 species